AAUAUGUAUGUAUAUAUAUGUAUUUUGAAAAUAAGCAUUUAUCUAGCAUUAUUGCAUAAAUAAGCAUUUCGGCAUUUUCCCACCUGGAAUUUCGACUCACUGUACACACAAGCCCACAGGUUGUGAAGUUUUCAUAUACUUGAAAGAAGGGUCAAAAUUCAAACCAUUUAAACUUGAUCCGUAGAAAGAUCUUUUGUAACUAACCCAAUCACCUCGGAAGGGUCCAAAAGUGGGCAGUAAGUAACGAGGAACAUUUUAGAAAGGUUUACUUCAAAAAGAGCAUCGUUAUUAUAGAAAAAGAUUACAUAUAGAAAAAGCUGUUGAAGAAUUUAGGUGUGGGGCCGUACAUAAAUCAUAUGACCGAUUUCCGGAGAAUUUUGACCCCGUUUGACCUAUUUGCCCCCUGUUAUAAUUAACACCAGAAGAAUAAGAUGUCCCUCAAAACGAUCCCAUACUUUUCGUGCAGUCCCUAAUGUAAUUUAACGUGUUGAAUACAGGCUCCAUCUCACUUCGUAUUAAAAGGAAGCUUGAAUAUUAGUUUUUUCGGUAACGAGUGAGUGCUAAUUAAUCUCUACUUUAUAAUUACACAAGUAUUCCGAGCAGCCAUGUCUUCAAUUAAGGCAACUAAUUCAAUCUCCAUUUCUACCGCUAUGGCAAAUUUAUUGAUUCUUCGCGGAAUCUUCUCGCACAUGACCAUCCGUGAGUUGAAGGAGGCUCGAAAGGUGUCCAAAAUCUGGGAAAACGUGGUAACCAUGAUCUUCCAGAAUAAAACGCGAAUUUUGUGACAACUUCACCAUUCAAAAAAUCCUCGACAUGCUCACCCAGGUUUCCGAAACGUUACAAUAUUUCCAAGCCGGUGUGUUAAAAGUGUGCCGGAACCCACCAAAGGUUACGAUCGACCCUGCACAUUUCAAAUUUCCCACCAUGAAGAAGCUCGCUAGUUUAUGUCUCCCCACUGUGAACCAGUUUGACCUCGGAUUCACAAACUUGACCCAGGUUGACCUACCUUCUUUAAAGCGGGUCGAUUUAAAAUUAGAGGAAGGGGAUUACCAAUUUAGCGGAUGUUUAACCAAUUUCUUGAUGAAUUUAUCCCCGAAAUUUCCCUUGUCCAGCGUGGAGGAACUUCGGUUGGAAGUAGUUGAUAUAGAUUGCCCCACAUCGGACCUCAUUUCGUUCAAAAUUUGGCAAACCUUCCCCAAUUUGGAACGUUUAACGGUAAAAAUUUGUGAACCAAAGGAGCGAGACGACAAGAUGAAAGAGUUUUUUAAAAAUUUGCGCCAAUGUGUGGACACUUUGUCCUACCUGACGAUCCUGAUCUGCACGAAGUGCAGUUUUUCCGAGUUGAUGGACGGCAUGGGGUGUGGUCGCAAGGGUGACGAGGACGGAUACCAUUUUCCAAAAGGGUCACUGAAACACAUCCAAGUGGUUAGAUGAUAGUCAUCCUCGUUGCGGUCGAACGAUCCGCGGUGUAAAAAAUAUGAGACAGCGUUUAAAAUCUGGCAGCCCAAUUUGUCGUUUCUUGGCUUUGAGGUGGUUGUUUAUUUCAGUUCCAAGUUGCCGCAUUGUCUCGGAUGUUGGACUUUAUUCGGGAAAACGAACUUAAGGUGGACUUCGUGGAUUGGUAUUGACAUGUUGAUCACGACGAAAGUACAUACAGAAAAAUUCCAUUUGUCAAAUGUGGUGUUUUUGAUCAUAUAGUUGCAUUAUAAUUAAUUUAAUGUCAUGUAUGUAUUCAUAAAAUAAAAAUGCAUGCUUCAUUUUAAUGAUAAAAUACAGUAUGAUCUAAUAAAAAUUCUACAAAGAAUUAAUAAAAUGCAUAUUUAUGUGAAUUUUUAACAACAAUCCUGCAAAAUUUUUGUGAAAUCUUGAAACUUUCGCGAGUAUGUGUGGAUCUAAUACCUGUAAUUGAGGGCCCCACGGAUGCUACUGCAAUGAAAAUCUUACCACUUAGAAACAAACUACUACCAAUCUGCUAGAAAAUUAUUACCACACAACUCUACCAGAUUUUUAACAGUGUAAGAUUGAUAAUAAUUUUUAUGCAUGUAAAUAUCACACAUUUUUUGCUUGCAGAUUUGUGUGCACUCCACAGUCUGCUGAAAUCGGUGAGUGGAAUUUUUAAUCAAUAAUU